rnacentral:rRNA from 1 species
GGCGGACGGGUGAGUAAUGCCUAGGAAUCUGCCUGGUAGUGGGGGACAACGUUUCGAAAGGAACGCUAAUACCGCAUACGUCCUACGGGAGAAAGCAGGGGACCUUCGGGCCUUGCGCUAUCAGAUGAGCCUAGGUCGGAUUAGCUAGUUGGUGAGGUAAUGGCUCACCAAGGCGACGAUCCGUAACUGGUCUGAGAGGAUGAUCAGUCACACUGGAACUGAGACACGGUCCAGACUCCUACGGGAGGCAGCAGUGGGGAAUAUUGGACAAUGGGCGAAAGCCUGAUCCAGCCAUGCCGCGUGUGUGAAGAAGGUCUUCGGAUUGUAAAGCACUUUAAGUUGGGAGGAAGGGCAGUAACUUAAUACGUUGCUGUUUUGACGUUACCGACAGAAUAAGCACCGGCUAACUCUGUGCCAGCAGCCGCGGUAAUACAGAGGGUGCAAGCGUUAAUCGGAAUUACUGGGCGUAAAGCGCGCGUAGGUGGUUCGUUAAGUUGGAUGUGAAAUCCCCGGGCUCAACCUGGGAACUGCAUUCAAAACUGUCGAGCUAGAGUAUGGUAGAGGGUGGUGGAAUUUCCUGUGUAGCGGUGAAAUGCGUAGAUAUAGGAAGGAAACACCAGUGGCGAAGGCGACCACCUGGACUGAUACUGACACUGAGGU